GAUUAACGCUGGCGGCGUGCCUAACACAUGCAAGUCGAACGAGGUAGCAAUACCUAGUGGCAGACGGGUGAGUAACACGUGGUCAACCUACCUUCGAGUGGGGGAUAACUAGCCGAAAGGUUAGCUAAUACCGCAUGAAACCGGAUGGGGCAUCCUAACCGGUUGAAAGGAGCAAUCCGCUCGUUGACGGGACCGCGUCCCAUUAGCUAGUUGGUGGGGUAACGGCCUACCAAGGCUCCGAUGGGUAGCUGGUUUGAGAGAGCGACCAGCCACACUG
rnacentral:rRNA from 1 species